CCCUUAGAUGUUCUGGGCCGCACGCGUGCUACACUGAGUGGAUCAGCGGGUCAGGUUGCGCGAAAGCGUUUCCUAAUCUUUAAAUCCGCUCGUGAUGGGGAUUGACGGUUGCAAUUUUCUGUCAUGAACGAGGAAUACCUUGUAAGCGCGGGUCAUCAUCCCGCGCUGAAUACGUCCCUGCCCUUUGUACAAACCGCCCGUCGCUCCUACCGAUUGAGUGGUCCGGUGAGGCUUUGGGAUCUGAGCGGAAAGAGCGUUUCGCUGUUUCUGCUCGGAAAACUCAGUCGAACCUUAUCAUUUAGAGGAAGGAGAAGUCGUAACA
rnacentral:rRNA from 1 species